CAUUUUCAGAAUCAGCAUACUCCAAAUACAAACAUAUGUCAAAAUCAUACAUAUUGGUCCAGUGGUUCAAAAGUUAAGGAAAAGUCCUAUUUGACCAAAUGCAGCAUGGCUUUUCUGCCCAAAACCAGUUCCACAGAGUCUUCUAUCCUGGAGAUAAUUGGGGAAGUAAUCCAAUUAUCUCCAGGACAGAGGCAAAACUCCAUUGAAC